CCUUGAAAGGAUCUUUCUGUGUUUUCCCUUCUCACUCUGCUGGAAGAAAUGGUAGAACCCAUAUCCUGUUUGGUUCUGGGGGAAAAGGUGAUCUUGGAGAGCUGAGGCGUGCUGGCCCACCCAGGACAGGAAGGGCACCAUUCUAGGACAUCAAGGAGGACACUAGCCUGCUUGUCAUAGUGUUAGGAUUUGACUGGUUGUGUUAAAGGUUCAUUAACGAGGCCCGCGGGAAUGACAAUUGCCUUGUCCACCGUGUUAACUGGACAGAAGGAAGAGAGAAAAGUCAGUAAGGGGAGAGAGCAACGUUCA